GGAGCGGUGGAUGAGUGGUUUAAGUCAUACGCCUGGAAAGCGUACGAGGGGUCAAACCCUCCGGGGGUUCGAAUCCCCCCUGCUCCGCCA
rnacentral:tRNA from 2 species